rnacentral:tRNA from 1 species
GAACUAAUAGUUAAAUUAAGAACUUCUGAUUGUUAAUUAGAGAGUGGAUGAAAUUCCUUAGUUUU